GAUGAACGCUGGCGGCGUGCCUAAUACAUGCAAGUCGAGCGAACAGAUGAGGAGCUUGCUCCUCUGACGUUAGCGGCGGACGGGUGAGUAACACGUGGAUAACCUACCUAUAAGACUGGGAUAACUUCGGGAAACCGGAGCUAAUACCGGAUAAUAUAUUGAACCGCAUGGUUCAAUAGUUAAAGACGGUUUUGCUGUCACUUAUAGAUGGAUCCGCGCCGCAUUAGCUAGUUGGUAAGGUAACGGCUUACCAAGGCAACGAUGCGUAGCCGACCUGAGAGGGUGAUCGGCCACACUGGAACUGAGACACGUUCCAGACUCCGACGGUAGGCAGCAGUAGGGAAUCUUCCGCAAUGGGCGAAAGCCUGACGGAGCAACGCCGCGUGAGUGAUGAAGGUCUUCGGAUCGUAAAACUCUGUUAUUAGGGAAGAACAAAUGUGUAAGUAACUAUGCACGUCUUGACGGUACCUAAUCAGAAAGCCACGGCUAACUACGUG
rnacentral:rRNA from 1 species